UUGUGCAGCCGGGGUGGUAGCGGUACCUUGAACCUGCAAUCCGCUAUAGCAGGGGUGAUGUUGUGCCGAGGGCAUUGGUCUGGUGAAGCCGCCCCUGGUAUGUGGCGUUGAUAUCUGGGUCUUACGCGACGAAAAUCCAUGAACCGUGUCAGGUCGGGAACGAAGCAGCACUAAGUGGAAUCUUUCGGGUGCCGUAAGGGUGCCUGGGUUGAGUUUACUGCCAGGGUAACGUUCGUUGGAUCAUGUUCGACGCACAACGCACGA
rfam:Dorea formicigenerans CAG:28 genomic scaffold, scf182